rnacentral:rRNA from 1 species
AAUGAACGCUGGCGGCGUGCCUAACACAUGCAAGUCGGAUGUGCCCGCAAGGGUGCAUGGCAGACGGGUGAGUAACGCGUGGGGAACCUACCUCUUUGUGGGGAAUAACGCUCCGAAAGGAGUGGUAAUACCGCAUGAGACCGCGAACUGGAAUGUUCACGGUGAAAGCUGGGGAUCGAAAGACCUAGCGCAAGGAGAGGGUCCUGCGUCUGAUUAGCUAGUUGGCGGGUAAUGGCCCACCAAGGCGACGAUCAGUAGCCGGCCUGAGAGGGUGAUCGGCCACACUGGAACUGAGACACGGUCCAGACUCCUACGGGAGGCAGCAGUGGGGAAUUUUGCGCAAUGGACGAAAGUCUGACGCAGCAACGCCGUGUGGGUGAUGAAGGUCUUCGGAUUGUAAAACCCUGUCGUCAGGGGCGAAGGUUGGGGCCCUAAUACGGUUUCAGCUUGACGGUACCUGGAGAGGAAGCCCCGGGCUAACUCUGUGCCAGCAG